GUAGAACUUUUUGCACUGGCAGAGGUGCGUGAUGACCUUUGAUUAAUUCAUUAUACGAGUUAAAUGUGAACCUAUCACCUUUGUACAAAUUGUAUUAUGCUUUUACGAUUAGUUCUUGGUACCACACUAUUUUGGCAUUUAUUUGUAAGAGAAUUCAUGUCACUACAGUUGUCCCAAGUCAGGAGCAGGGCUAAGUAGUGCAAACUUGUAUAAGAGGCUUUCAAUGUAAGAAGCCCUUCCCACCACCCCACCAAAACCAUUGCUCCUCAAAUAUGUAACCUCACAUGGUCAUAUAACCAUGCUACUUCUCAUGCCAUGAUUGUUCAUUAAACUUAUGCCAUGUUGGGGGGUGGUAGUGUGGAAGUUGAAAUUUCUGUUGACAUAAAUCUCGUGAUUCUCUGAGAAACUGCUAAGAAACAUAUGAUUAGUCUAGCAACACAUGAUUGAUAUUUGGUUUGGCAAUGCCAUGCAUAUGCAUAACUUGCUAAAUGUGAUUCUUCAGUUAAGAACACCAUAUGUGAUGCAAUCUUAGAAAUCUGACUACCAUUAGAUAGCUUGGUUGGUAGAAGUUUUACUUGGGCAGUUAGUCUCAUGAUGCAAUUUUAGUAUUGUAGCUUAAUGUAGCUGUUGUUUCAAAUAUGUAACCACACAUGCACAUAUAAGCAUGCUACUUUUCAUGUGAUGUUUGAUCAUUAAACUUAUGCCAUGUUAGGUGGUGGUUCUGUGGAAGUUGAAAUUCCUGUUAUGACAUAAAUCUCA
rnacentral:misc_RNA from 1 species